AGUAACCCGGUAGCUUUAGUAAGAGUUAUUGUCUAGUGUUAACUUGUGUAUACUUCCGCUGCGUGUACCAACCUACUCUGGUGAAAUAAGCGGUGUUGAGAGGCGUGUGUGGCACAAAGCGAGUCGGGAUCACAUGGGGACUAACGAAAGCCUCCAACCGCCGCCUCCUUUACUUCCACCACCGCCACUGCCACCGCCGCCGCCACCACCAGCACCACCACCACCACCACUACCGCCGCCGUCACCGCCACGUGAGGAAAGGGCACUGUGGGCGGCCUGCCUCUCCUCAUCAGUACUGUGGUGGUUCUCCUAAUGGGCCGCCUUUCCCUACUGGCUGAUGGAGGCUUUUACUGCAGAUAUAGUACGUUUUGUUCCUCUGCUGUGGGUAGGAGAGACAUACUGACGGAGAAAUGGACUGACGGCCGGACGGAUAGAAAUAGAAAAGAAGGGAAGAAAGGGAAAGGUAAAGGGAAGGAAAGAAAAGGCAAUGAAAGAAAAGGAAAGGGAAGGAAAAGAAAAGAGAAGGAAUGGAAAAGAGAAGAGAGGAAAAGGAUGAAAAUGUAAGGGAAGGGAUGGAAAGUAAAAAGAAGAGAGAAUGGAGAGGAAAGGAAAGGAAAGGAGAGGAGAGGAAAAAACGAAGCGAAGAGAAUGAAAGGGAAGGAAAACAAAGGAGAAGGAAUUGUAAGGGAAGGAAAGGAAGGGGGAGAGAAGGCAAGGGAAGAGAGUAUUAACGUGUUUUAUAGAUUCCCCUUAAUUAGCCAAGGCAGUAAGGCAGCGCAGAAUGAGUGUCUGUGCAAGGAACGUCUCCAUCUCCAGUCAGCGUUACGUUCAGCAGUAUUCCCGCCACCACUCAGGAAAUCACCUUUGCUUAGCUUUUGGAAUAUUAACUGGUGAAGCAAGUAAAUUCAAUCCAACGCCCAGCACGCGAGAGAAUUUAAUUUUGAGCGACUUGCAGCAAAUUUUGUAAUGUGUGUGUAUAUUUUUUUUGUUUUAUUUACCUUGUUUUUUUUAACGAUAACAAAAAAAAAAACAUCUUGGUCAUAUUGAAUUAACGUAAGGUAGCCAAACCCAAGCUAGCCCAACUCAAUAACUCAACUCAAUAACUCAAUCCAACCUAAUCUAAACUAAUGUAACCAACCUAGCUUAACGUAACUUAAUUUAAUGGAUCCCAGUCCACCCUAACCUAACCUAACGUAACAUAACCUACCUAACUGACCAGAUCAUACAUAACUUUACCUGAACCUAAGCUGCACUCUCUCUCUCUCUCUCUCUCUCUCUCUCUCUCUCUCUCUCUCUCUCUCUCUCUCUCUCUCUCUCUCUCUCUCUCUCUCUCUCUCUCUCUCUCUCUCUCUCUCUCUCUCUCUCUCUCUCUCUCUCUCUCUCUCUCUCUCUCUCUCUCUCUCUCUCUCUCUCUCUCUCUCUCUCUCUCUCUCUCUCUCUCUCUCUCUCUCUCUCUCUCUCUCUCUCUCUCUCUCUCUCGUUCUAGCUCGAUCACUGCUAUCCAUUCCAAACUUCUCCCUUCUAUCCUUCCCUUUUUCCCAUCCUUCUUUCCUCCCUGUCUGGUACCUUCCCUCCCUCCAUCCCUCCUUCUCUAUAUCUCUCCCUCCUUUCCUGCCUCUCUCUUCCACUCAGCAUUUCCCUCACGACUUUUAACUAUGAUAAAUAACAAACUUCACGGCACCAGCAGCAAAAAGCAUGAAGCUCAAAAGUACAGGACAAAAAUAAAAGGCAGGAGUGCAUCGAGUGUGAGUUGCGGGUCCAAAAACACACGUGUGACAGGAUGCCUCUGUUUCCGGGACGUGGCGGCGGCAGCGGGGCGUGGUGUGUGUGUGUGUGUGUGUGUGUGUGUGUGUGUGUUGUGUGUGUGUGUGUGUGUGUGUGUGUGUGUGUGUGUGUGUGUGUGUGUGUGUGUGUGUGUGUGUUGUGUGUGUGUGUGUGUGUGUGUGUGUGUGUAUCGGGAAAAGGGCGUUUGGAUGGAGGAAGGGAAGGAUGAAAGAGAGGGGAAAGAGGAAAGACGAGUAGAGAGAAAUUGAUUGAUUGAUUUAAGGUACCAAACAACAGGCAGAGAGAGAGAGAGAGAGAGAGAGAGACAGAGAGAGAGAGAGAGAGAGAGAGAGAUUCCCAGCUGCACCACACCGCACUCUUCCAAAAAGACAAACUGGAAGGCCGCUGUAUAAUAAUUGUAAAAGCAAAUGUUCAUCGCUGGAAGGACAACUCAACCAGUCUUGUCCCGGCACCAGCAGCAAGGAUGUGGCAGGCGGGCAGAGCAGGCGAGCAAGCGGGGAAACAAGGAAGGAAGCAAGAUGUCACAGAAGACGACACCAUCCCACCGCUCACUGCGCCAGAUGGGACCACGGGCACGUAUGGCAAAGACAAGGCUGACCCGCUGACGACUCACUUCUCUUCGCUAAAUUGGGGUUGGGGGCGCACCGUACUAUGCACCGCACAUCUCAGGUCUGGACCAUGCGACCCUUCCACUCUGUAUUGCUGCACAAGAGAGGUAGCAGCUUCACCAGGCAAAUACUACGUAAUUAAUGUUUUCAGUCAGGGCAUGUAACGUCAGGUCUUAAUACUGAAUGACUGUAUUCUGAAGGACUGUCGUUUUAUCUCUACUACUUUGAACAGGCUGUAGUGAAGGUCAUAGGGGUAUUUUACAGGGAGAGGUUAUUAAGGAUUCUACAUUAUCGAUUAUAGAAUAUACCCAUAUAAACCCGA